UUUUUUCAGGCAUGGCGUCAGCGGAGAGGGACUCUGCCUCCAGCUUACUUCUCACAAAAGAGGAGAGAGGAGGAAGUAAGUGUAAGCUACCACCGAUUACCAACAGCUGUUGAAUGGUGCAAAGAAUGGGUCCGAGCGAUAAACAGCCCCAAAUAUGACGAGAACGCACCAACAUCAGUACUGGGAAAUCUUCGUGUAUGCUCUUUGCGUUUUGCAUCAGAUGACUACAAUAGGGACAUACAGUCAGAGUUGAUGGGAGGAAGCAUCAAGAAAUUGCUUAAGACCUCUGCUGUGCCCACUCUUUUUGGAAGCGAUAUUGGCCAUGGCGAUGGAAACCCCCAGAGAAGCAAGGUUGAACAGAGUUGAAGAACAAACUUCCUCUACUUCUACUGCCACAGGCAGUGUGCCCAGCAGAGGGAAGAAAUACAAUCUGUUGCUGCUUCAGCCCACAGUCAAGGUGGGCUCAUUCCAGAGUUGCAAGUUGAAGUACAUGCCCAAAAGGUAGCAGUUCUCCUACACGGGCCUGAGGAAAAGAGGGCAACUUGCCGUUUUGGAGCACAAUAAAAAUAUUGUGAAGAGGAAGCUCACCACUAACAGCAAAGUUGAGGUGCAAAGGAAACUUGUUUACUGUCGGAGGACAAAGCAAUGGGUUGUGAAGACGAUUUAUGAACCUCACAUGCACAACUUCAGAGUGCGCCUUGUUGAACUUGUCAUUGCAUGAAGAUGAGACCCUACCUUUGCCUACAAAAUGCGGACGUCAUCACUCCUGCUCCCUCAGCCUACUCUUCCCCCAAACAUUGUAGCAGUCCCAAAACCAUCCAAACAAGAAGCAACUGGGAAACACCAGUCCUGUUUUCCAAAGUGAUGUAAUGAGAAGUCUAGCAAAGUGGCUGAGGAAAAAUAAAAAUACUGGGCAAUUCAGUUAUUGGCCCUUUGGACUUAUUUCACCCCUGUCAGCUGCUUUAUAACCCCUUAAUUUAUAAUUUACAUUUUCAGUUGUGCAAUACUGACUUAGCAGUACAAUAAUUUAACUUUAUAACAGUGCAGUACUCUGGUGUGUAUUUAUACUAUAUUAGAACUUAUUCAUUCUGUACAUUCUGCAAUAUUUUUACAUAUUUAUUGCAUAAUACACUUAUUUUUCCAUUCUUAUUUUUCUUAUAAUUUCACUUAUGCUUAUAUAUAUAUAUAUUCUCUUCUACAAUGUGAGCAACUGUACGAUGACCA